rnacentral:tRNA from 1 species
GUCAGGAUGGCCGAGUGGUCUAAGGCGCCAGACUCAAGGUUAAGCACCUUACCUACGGGCGUUCUGGUCUCCAGAUGGAGGCGUGGGUUCGAAUCCCACUUCUGACA